rnacentral:tRNA from 1 species
GUUGUGGCUCAGUGGUGGAAUACUUGCCUAGAAUGUGUGAGGCACUGGGUUCGAUUCUCAGCACAACA